ensembl:lncRNA
UACUGUACUCUGUACCAACUUCUACCUAAAAUUGUAUUACUAAAGGAGAAUCGUAAUACUUAAAUAAAGAGUCUGUUUCCUUUCUACUACCAAUAUAUAUAUUUGAUAAUUAUAUAGACCUGAUCAUCUGCUGAAGAAAUUGACCAACACGAGGACAAGGAACACCCCUACGCAGGCAUCCUGGAUGGGUCAUCCAUUCACAGCUGUCAGGGCCCCCAACAAAGGCCUCAGGGGCCCCAGCACCCCCAGGACAGUUGUCCAGGCCAGCCCAACCUUGAGGCCCUCUACGCCCAAGUCAACAAGACCCACAAUGGAUGCCCUUCAAUUGGCUGACAGGUACGGGGCACCACCACCAAUCACCAACAGCCGAAACAACCACCAACUAAAACCAGCAGCAAAAUCAACAGCAGCAACAACACAUCACCUCAAUACCCUUCAACACCACCACCACCCAAAACCAACAACAACAACAUCAUCCUCCAUUCACACACAACCGACUGGCGCCUAGCAAUCAUGACCGGAUACAGCGUCUGAGGUUUGAUUUCCAGCAGGCCAGAGGAGAUGAGAAUCCUGACAACCGAUGACGCACAUAUAGCUUCGAACAGCCCUGGGCUAACUCAGGGAUGUACACCCCAACCGGACGCCACUCGGUGUCUGUGGAGUUAUAGGUGCAGAGGCAGAGACAGAGACAAGAUGAGAUAAAAGACUCAUUCACACAGGCCCAAAGGCAGUA